GAUGAAGAACGUAGCGAAAUGCGAUAAGUAGUGUGAAUUGCAGAAUUCAGUGAAUCAUCGAAUCUUUGAACGCACAUUGCGCCCCUUGGUACUCCAUGGGGCAUGCCUGUUCGAGCGUCAUUUACACCCUCAAGCUCUGCUUGGUGUUGGGCGUCUGUCCCGCUUCGUGCGCGGACUCGCCUCAAAUGCAUUGGCAGCGGUCUUGCCAGCUUCUCGCGCAGCACAUUGCGCUUCUAGAGGCUUUGGCGGAUCGGCGUCCAUCAAGUACACCCACAGUUUGACCUCGGAUCAGGUAGGGAUACCCGCUGAACUUAAGCAUAUCAAUAGCGGAGGA
rnacentral:misc_RNA from 1 species